rnacentral:rRNA from 1 species
CCUACGGACGGCAGCAGUAGGGAAUCUUCGGCAAUGGGGGGAACCCUGACCGAGCAACGCCGCGUGAGUGAAGAAGGUUUACGGAUCGUAAAGCUCUGUUGUAAGAGAAGAACGGGUGUGAGAGUGGAAAGUUCACACUGUGACGGUAUCUUACCAGAAAGGGACGGCUAACUACGUGCCAGCAGCCGCGGGAAUACGUAGGUCCCGAGCGUUGUCCGGAUUUAUUGGGCGUAAAGCGAGCGCAGGCGGUUAGAUAAGUCUGAAGUUAAAGGCUGUGGCUUAACCAUAGUAUGCUUUGGAAACUGUUUAACUUGAGUGCAGAAGGGGAGAGUGGAAUUCCCUGUGUAGCGGUGAAAUGCGUAGAUAUAUGGAGGAACACCGGUUGCGAAAGCGGCUCUCUGGUCUGUAACUGACGCUGAGGCUCGAAAGCGUGGGUAGCAAACAGGAUUAGAUACCCCUGUAGUC